rnacentral:rRNA from 1 species
AACGAACGCUGGCGGCAUGCCUAACACAUGCAAGUCGAACGAGACCUUCGGGUCUUGUGGCGCACGGGUGCGUAACGCGUGGGAACCUGCCCUUAGGUUCGGAAUAACUCCCCGAAAGGGGUGCUAAUACCGGAUAAUGUCUUCGGCCCAAAGAUUUAUCGCCUUUGGAUGGGCCCGCGUUGGAUUAGCUAGUUGGUAGGGUAAAAGCCUACCAAGGCGACGAUCCAUAGCUGGUCUGAGAGGAUGAUCAGCCACACUGGGACUGAGACACGGCCCAGACUCCUACGGGAGGCAGCAGUGGGGAAUAUGGGACAAUGGGCGAAAGCCUAAGCCAGCAAGGCCGCGUGAGUGAUGAAGGCGUUAGGAUUGUAAAGCUCUUUUACCCGGGAUGAUAAUGACAGUACCGAGAAAAUAAGCUCCGGCUAACUCCGU